rnacentral:rRNA from 1 species
AGACGUCUACAUUAGAUACCCGGGUAGUCCUAGCCGUAAACGAUACUCGCUAGGUGUCGGCCACGGUGCGACCGUUGUCGGUGCCGUAGGGAAGCCGUGAAGCGAGCCACCUGGGAAGUACGGCCGCAAGGCUGAAACUUAAAGGAAUUGGCGGGGAGCACCACAACGGGUGGAGCUUGCGGUUUAAUUGGAUUCAACGCCGGAAAUCUUACCGGGACCGACAGCAAUAUGAAGGCCAGGCUGAAGACUUUGCCGGAUUAGCUG